rnacentral:rRNA from 1 species
AGAGACCGAUAGCGAACAAGUACCGUGAGGGAAAGAUGAAAAGAACUUUGGAAAGAGAGUGAAAUAGUGCUUGAAAUCGUUGGGAGGAAAGCGAAUGGAGCUACUGUAUAAUUGAGGACUUUCUAGUCGUCAUUUAGGUAGGUAACGAUGUAGUGACCUCAAAAUUAACGUUCGUGCGAGCUUUAUAUCCUGGCGAAAGGCGAAUUUUAGGUUUGUUAGAUACAGUGGUAACAUUGCACUAGCAAAAACUGGUUUUCGUAAAAUUUAAUUUCUGACCAGAGGAAAGAGCCGUAUAUAUUUUUUUCCAAUCAGAAUAUUCAAUCUGAAUGUUCUGGAAUUUGAUUAAACGGACGGAAGGGCUUUAUUCGACCCGUCUUGAAACACGGACCAAGGAGUCCAGCAUUUACGCGAGUGUUCGGGUGGCAAACCCCUGCGCGUAGUGAAAGCAAAUGUUAUUUUUUGAUUAUGUAUUUUGAAUAAAUAUAUCCUUUUUUUUUUAAGUAAAAAGCUUGAUGUUUUUAUUUAUAAAUAUGUAAAGUAAAACAUGACAAUGGUGAGAACUUAAACUUUUGUACAUCACCAUCCAACUUUUCUCUUUUUAAACGAAGAGAUAGCUUGUGACUGAGCGUGUAUGCUGGGACCCGAAAGAUGGUGAACUA